rnacentral:rRNA from 1 species
AGAUUGAACGCUGGCGGCAUGCCUUACACAUGCAAGUCGAACGGCAGCACGGGAGCAAUCCUGGCGGCGAGUGGCGAACGGGUGAGUAAUACAUCGGAACGUGCCCAAUCGUGGGGGAUAACGCAGCGAAAGCUGUGCUAAUACCGCAUAAGAUCUACGGAUGAAAGCAGGGGAUCGCAAGACCUUGCGCGAAUGGAGCGGCCGAUGGCAGAUUAGGUAGUUGGUGAGGUAAAGGCUCACCAAGCCUUCGAUCUGUAGCUGGUCUGAGAGGACGACCAGCCACACUGGGACUGAGACACGGCCCAG